UACAGAGGGGGCAAGCGUUGUUCGGAAUUACUGGGCGUAAAGGGCGCGUAGGCGGCCUUCUAAGUCGAACGUGAAAUCCCUCGGCUUAACCGGGGAACUGCGUCCGAUACUGGAGGGCUUGAGUGUGGGAGAGGGAUGCGGAAUUCCAGGUGUAGCGGUGAAAUGCGUAGAUAUCUGGAGGAACACCGGUGGCGAAGGCGGCAUCCUGGACCAUGACUGACGCUGAGGAGCGAAAGCCAGGGGAGCAAACGGG
rnacentral:rRNA from 1 species